UCGAGAGUAUUUAGCAAUGGGCGAAAGCCUGACUAUGCGACGCCGCGUGAAGGAUGAAGGUCUUCGGAUUGUAAACUUCUUUUGUCAGGGGAGAAACCUCUUAUUCUAACAGGAUAAGAGCUGACGGUACCUGAUGAAUAAGCCACGGCCAACUCCGUGCCAGCAGCCGCGGUAAUACGGAGGUGGCAAGCGUUACUCGGAAUCAUUGGGUGUAAAGGGCAAGUAGGCGGUUUGAUAAGUGAGGGGUGAAAUCUUUCGACUCAAUCGGGAGACUGCCUUUCAAACUGUCAAACUUGAAGCAGGAAGAGGGAAAUGGAAUUCACGGUGUAAGGGUGAAAUCUGUAGAUAUCGUGAAGAACACCAGCUGCGAAGGCGAUUUCCUGGUCCUGUCUUGACGCUGAAUUGCGAAAGCUAGGGGAGCAAACA
rnacentral:rRNA from 1 species